GACGAACGCUGGCGGCGUGCUUAACACAUGCAAGUCGAACGGAAAGCCUCUUUCGGGGGGUACUCGAGUGGCGAACGGGUGAGUAACACGUGAGUAACCUGCCCUUGACUUUGGGAUAACUUCAGGAAACUGGGGCUAAUACCGGAUAGGAGCUCCUGCUGCAUGGUGGGGGUUGGAAAGUUUCGGCGGUUGGGGAUGGACUCGCGGCUUAUCAGCUUGUUGGUGGGGUAGUGGCUUACCAAGGCUUUGACGGGUAGCCGGCCUGAGAGGGUGACCGGCCACAUUGGGACUGAGAUACGGCCCAGACUCCUACGGGAGGCAGCAGUGGGGAAUAUUGCACAAUGGGUGGAAGCCGGAUGCAGCAACGCCGUGUGCGGGAUGACGGCCUUCGGGUUGUAAACCGCUUUCGCUCAUGACGAAGCUUUGUGUGACGGUAGUGGGUAAAGAAGCACCGGCUAACUACGUG
rnacentral:rRNA from 1 species